CAUUCUACAAUAUGUUUUACUUCUAGUCUAGGGGCUCUAUUCUAUAGUCUGCUUCUCUAGUUGCUGUGCUGCACAGACUGGAAUUUAAGGGGCGGGCGUUGUGUAGCCUCUGUCGAAUAUAUAACAAGAGCUUUAGUUAAAGGAUUCAACCGGUAAAACAAGCGACUGGUUUGUGCGGGAAUUCGUUCGAGGGCCAUAAUCUUCAAGGGAUCAAGGAUUACAAAUCAACAUGAGUGACAAGGGUACCAUCUCACCAAAAGAGGAGGGGGCAGAGAAGAGGGGACGUGGAAGACCAAGGAAACAGCCACAGGUGAAAAGUGGUUCUGAUGAGCCCAGUGGGUCCCCUACUCCAAAGAGGCCCAGGGGAAGGCCAAAGGGUAGCAAGAACAAGACUGUCACCAAGGGCAAGAAGGCACCAGCAGCCUCAACUGCAGGGAUGAAACGCAGGGGAAGACCCAAGAAAGAGCUACCAGGUGUGAAGUCAACUACACCUGGAGUCUGUCGCGUCCUCUUUGAAACAACGCACAUUCCAGGUGGCACUGAUAGCUCCGAAUGAGGAAUUGGCAAAUUUUGGCCUACAAACUGACCCGUGGGACUUGUCUUCACACGAUUCUGAAGACAGCUGGGACGAGGAAAAGGAGGAACAGGCAACCCAGGAAUCAUCUGAAGAGGAGGGGGAGAAAGACCAGUAAACUUGCAACCCAUGCUACCUCACUCUACAUACUGACUCCCUGUCAACCAGAGCUAGGCUGAAUCUCCAAUACCGGUGCCACCCCAACCUCUUUUCUACAGUUCACUUUCUUGCCUUCUCGCUAAAGGUGGGUCAACAACACACUUCAUCCAACCUCUAUUUGCAACUGCACUGGAAAACCAAUGGAUGUUUCUUAACAAGCAUAUCUAUCAAAGAAUCACAGUACAGGCGACGGACAACCGUUUCUCUAUGUGUAUGUCGUGGUAUUGCAAGUCUUUUAUACUGGACAAAAAUGUGUUCUGAUGAGUUUUUGGACACGCUUCUUUCAAAAGACAGUGUAUAGCACAUUCUCUCGGCUUAGUGUUACUCAUUUUUUUCCCUAACACCGGUAUGUUGAGCUGGUGGGUCAUAUAAACUUGUUUUCUAUUGGACAAGAGGUGAAUUUUGCCUAUACUUGCUGUUUAAGUGUGAAGUGCUUAAUCUAUCCCUUACAUCAAUUUACCAGCGGAGAAGCUGAUAUGGAGAAAAUACAGUAUGAGCAUUAAAUAUAUUAUUAUAGACAUUAUAACCUCUGUAUUAGACCUCUCCCUGUUACUUCUUUGAUUGUGCAGAAUUGUUCCUCCCCCUCCCAUCCAAAAUAAGCUGUCCCCUAACUAGCCUCUGAUGUGGCUUGUGCUCGUCUCCCUAUAGCCUCUUCGGGGCUACACUGGAAAAGGCUUGUGUUAACUAAAGUGUACUGUUACUAAUCAAAGAUUUGAUCGGACUGAUUGUGUUUUAUCGUGUUCCUCUGGGUCAUAACAUACCCUCAAAUACCUGAGUAAUUGUGCUGCUUUGAUGUCUACAAAAACUCGUCAUAAUAAUGUCAUAAUGGCUUAAGGAUGGGUAGGGAUUCAUUGAUUGGGGAGCUACAUUCUCUCAGCACUCCAGGAAACUUUUUUUGAACUCUGUGGCAUCUGCUGUUCCUCUUAAUGUGGUCCUCCCAGUCUACAACAUUUGUUGCAACCCAUGGCCACUUGGUCAGCUCUAGGUGAACUGUGUAACAAACUGUUUGGCCAAACUAAGAGCUGGAUUGUUACUGUUGUGGCACUGUUUUAUCCAAUGGGUCUGUAUAAUAGCUGAUCAUUCCAUUUUCCCUCUCACUGCUUUACAAGGCCUGUUGUGUGUCGUCAUCACUUUGUACAGGAUGUUGAAAUAUUCUGCUUUUUCUGUGAGGAUAGUCAGUGUCUGCUGUCUACUCCAGAAAAACAAUGUUGUUUUGUUUGUGUUUCUCAGUGUCAGGGAUCUCAAGAUCACAGUCCAGUUACUGGGUCUCUCCUCAAACCUAUAAGCUGCUACAAUCUCAGUUAUAAAAACCCGGAAAACUGCAACGGGCCUGACAAGGCCCAGAAUCUCAUACCUCACUUGACGACAGCUUACUUUAAACUUUCCCAUAUUGCAUUCUUCAACUGGUUUCAAAUGUACAAUGUAAACUCUGGCAAGUGUGUGAGAAAUGUUUGUAUUACGUGGUCUUUUUUUAAUCUGACUGUUAUUUGGUAUUUUAAAGACUGCCUAGCCUAGCUACUAGUGAAGGUGUGCUCUCACACACCCCUCUGCUCCUCUUUGUUUUUAAAGCGAGCGUACAGAGACGGGUCACAAAAAUGUGUAAAGUCAUGAAGAUCUGUCAGCUUUGCAAAUUUGUGUUCGCUGACUGGUAGAUUAGACGGUGUGUUUUAUCUUUUUAAUAAAUCCUACUUCUGGUGCACUGAAAUGUUUGCUUGAUUCAGAUUGUCAUGUGUGUGUUUAGUGACAAAGACUGGGUGUUCUCUCCAGGUUAUUCUGUUGUAGACCUCGGUGCGGCUUUGGCACCAGGCGCUUUUCCAUGUAUGCAUUCCUCAAUGGCACCCUAUUCCCUUUAUAAUGCACUACUUUUGACCAGAGCCCUGGUCAAAAGUAGAGCACUAUAUAGUUAGAGUGCCAUUUGGGAUGCAUGAUGCUCAUGUGGAACUCCGGUAAUUACAUAUCCAUUCACAGCUGCAACUAUUUUGACUAUGUACCAACAUCAUCCAUGUUAUGUAAUUCAUUCAAGUUAAUGAGAUGGGGUCAUUCUUUUUAAUAUACAAUGUCUAUAUUUCUAUUGCGCACUAUGACAAUUUGUAUCCAGAAAGGGUCAAUAAAUACAAGAAUUUCUA